rnacentral:tRNA from 1 species
GGGCAGAUAGCUCAGUUGGUAGAGCACAGGACUGAAAAUCCUGGUGUCGGGGGUUCGAUUCCCCCUCUGCCCAC